rnacentral:sRNA from 12 species
CAGUGGGCUAGGUUGGCCGCCGAAAAGCGUAAACCUUGAUACGCCUGUCCACUGUUUUUAUAAAUCAAGG